AUUCAUAUAUAUGAUAUAUUUAUACAUAUAAUACGGUAUAUGAAAUGUUCUAUACUAUAUUUUAUAGCAAAAGGUCAAUAAAAAAACUAAUAAUAUAUAUUUAUGUCUGCUUCUAUUCUAUGUGACUUAGGUUUAAUGCAUUCGAGAAAGUUUAACUGCAAAACUUACAUUUUCUUCACUUGUGGGUAAAAAUAAGUUUUUCUUGUGUUCUUAUUUAUUUAAAAUGUCAAACAAGAAUAUAAAAAAACUUAUUUUUGUCCAAAAGUGAAAAAAAUGUUAGUUUUGCAGUAGAACUUUUCAUUUAUUCCUGUUCUCGGUAUGUAUCUCUUGAUAGUCAUUUUUAUGUCAAACAGGCGUCAAAAAGCUACAAUCAUUUUGACGUCUGUUUGACAUCAAAAUGACAUCAAGAUUAGCAUCAUGGCAUGGGACGUUUUGCAGUCAAAUAGCCGUCAUUUUGCCAUGAUUUUGAUUACUCAUUUUGGCAUCAUACUCAUUGUCAAUUUGAUAGCAUUUUGACGUCAUUUUGACUAGAUUGUUUUCACUGGGCACCAUUCACUUCCCCAGGCCACCUCACUCGCUCUUGGCAGGGGACGUUUUCGAACGCAACCUUUCCUGUUGUGAUGAUAGGUGAUAAUACCAACACGCGAUUUUAAUCUAAGCGUCUCAUGAAUUUGCACCUUCACUCUUCUAAAAUCGUCCUUUCACCAUCGAAGAUCGCGCGGGACUCCAAAU